UGCUGGCGACCGGCGCACGGGUGAGUAACACGUAUCCAACCUGCCCUUUACUCGGGGAUAGCCUUUCAAAAGAAAGAUUAAUACCCGAUGGCAUAAUGAUUCCGCAUGGUUUCAUUAUUAAAGGAUUCCGGUAAAGGAUGGGGAUGCGUUCCAUUAGGUUGUUGGUGAGGUAACGGCUCACCAAGCCUUCGAUGGAUAGGGGUUCUGAGAGGAAGGUCCCCCACAUUGGAACUGAGACACGGUCCAAACUCCUACGGGAGGCAGCAGUGAGGAAUAUUGGUCAAUGGGCGCUAGCCUGAACCAGCCAAGUAGCGUGAAGGAUGAAGGCUCUAUGGGUCGUAAACUUCUUUUAUAUAAGAAUAAAGUGCAGUAUGUAUACUGUUUUGUAUGUAUUAUAUGAAUAAGGAUCGGCUAACUCCGUGCCAGCAGCCGCGGUAAUACGGAGGAUCCGAGCGUUAUCCGGAUUUAUUGGGUUUAAAGGGAGCGUAGGUGGACUGGUAAGUCAGUUGUGAAAGUUUGCGGCUCAACCGUAAAAUUGCAGUUGAUACUGUCAGUCUUGAGUACAGUAGAGGUGGGCGGAAUUCGUGGUGUAGCGGUGAAAUGCUUAGAUAUCACGAAGAACUCCGAUUGCGAAGGCAGCUCACUGGACUGCAACUGACACUGAUGCUCGAAAGUGUGGGUAUCAAACAGGAUUAGAUACCCUGGUAGUCCACACAGUAAACGAUGAAUACUCGCUGUUUGCGAUAUACAGUAAGCGGCCAAGCGAAAGCAUUAAGUAUUCCACCUGGGGAGUACGCCGGCAACGGUGAAACUCAAAGGAAUUGACGGGGGCCCGCACAAGCGGAGGAACAUGUGGUUUAAUUCGAUGAUACGCGAGGAACCUUACCCGGGCUUAAAUUGCAGUGGAAUGAUGUGGAAACAUGUCAGUGAGCAAUCACCGCUGUGAAGGUGCUGCAUGGUUGUCGUCAGCUCGUGCCGUGAGGUGUCGGCUUAAGUGCCAUAACGAGCGCAACCCUUAUCUUUAGUUACUAACAGGUUAUGCUGAGGACUCUAGAGAGACUGCUGUCGUAAGAUGUGAGGAAGGUGGGGAUGACGUCAAAUCAGCACGGCCCUUACGUCCGGGGCUACACACGUGUUACAAUGGGGGGUACAGAAGGCAGCUAGCGGGUGACCGUAUGCUAAUCCCAAAAGCCUCUCUCAGUUCGGAUCGAAGUCUGCAACCCGACUUCGUGAAGCUGGAUUCGCUAGUAAUCGCGCAUCAGCCACGGCGCGGUGAAUACGUUCCCGGGCCUUGUACACACCGCCCGUCAAGCCAUGGGAGCCGGGGGUACCUGAAGUACGUAAACGCAAGGAUCGUCCUAGGGUAAAACUGGUGACUGGGGCUAAG
rnacentral:rRNA from 1 species